rnacentral:rRNA from 1 species
AUUGAACGCUGGCGGCAGGCCUAACACAUGCAAGUCGAGCGCGCGGCGGACGGGGGAGGAAGGUCUGGGAAACUGCCUGUUGGAGGGGGAUAAAUACUGGAAAAGGUAGCUAAUACCGCACACCAUCAGAUGUGGCCCGAUGGGAUUAGCUGGUAGGUGGGGUAACGGCUCACCUAGGCGACGAUCCCUAGCUGGUCUGAGAGGAUGAACAGCCACACUGUAACUGAGACACGGUCCAGACUCCUACGGGAGGCAGCAGUGGGGAAUAUUGCACAAGGGGCGCAAGCCUGAUGCAGCCAUGCCGCGUGUGUGAAGAAGGCCUUCGGGUUGUAAAGCACUUUCAGCGGGGAGGCGUUACCCGCAGAAGAAGCACCGGCUAACUCCGUGCCAGCAGCCGCGGUAAUAC